CUAGUAAAAUGACCACAACAGGAUUCGAUUUUGAAGCCCUAGUGGGAUUACAGUGAAGGAGGCUCUCAUUCUUAAAAUGGUUGCCAUUCUGGGGCACAAACUGUCCUGGCUUUAUAAGGUGUUGUGUCAGAGUGCACGGACAACUUUCCAUCUUCCUGAGGUAUCAAGGAGAUACCACAGUAGGACCUCCAGCUGUACUAAGACUAUCGCAUUUACGUAAUCGUCCUCUUAUUAGGAAGAUUCUGCUGAACUGCUGACAAUGAUGUACAGUAGUGCUUCGCCGGUAUGACGUUUGGGGAAAACGAUUCUGCUGCACCACCACACAAAACCAAUUAGAGAACUAUUUUCUGCGACAGUCGGUCAAAAGCUGUAUUCUUCACCAGCUUUCCGCCGGGUAAAGAGGACGCAGCUCAGAGAUCCAGGGGAAAAUUAACUUAAUGCUCCGAGUCUGUGGGAUCACAUCAGGGAGACGUUUUGCUAUCGUGAAGACGUGAGGGUCACCGUUCGCUGCAGCCGUGUUCAGCUCAGCAGCAAUAAGCUGAGCACCGUUGAACACCGUGGCACGGCUCCGCGCCUUCCAGGGGGAAACGCAGCACCCCUUCGACUCGCGACCCACAGCGGGCUGAUAACAGAGACCUGUCUUCAUCUCCAUCUUUGCUUUUCUUUGGAAGAUGGAGGUUGUAAUGACUCACAGACGUCUGCCAACACACAGCAAAGACAAGAGUGCAGCUGAGGCUUUCUUGCCCCCUGAAAUACAACGCUUCACUGCACAAAGCUUUAGGCAGUACUGCUCACCUCAGCCAGGCUUCCUGAAAACCUCAGCUUCUCACCUGCAGUCUGCUGGCGCUCAAAAGUUUGUGCUGC